CAGCCGCCGCGGUAAUACAGAGGGUGCGAGCGUUAAUCGGAUUUACUGGGCGUAAAGCGUGCGUAGGCGGCUUCUUAAGUCGGAUGUGAAAUCCCUGAGCUUAACUUAGGAAUUGCAUUCGAUACUGGGAAGCUAGAGUAUGGGAGAGGAUGGUAGAAUUCCAGGUGUAGCGGUGAAAUGCGUAGAGAUCUGGAGGAAUACCGAUGGCAAAGGCAGCCAUCUGGCCUAAUACUGACGCUGAGGUACGAAAGCAUGGGGAGCAAACAGGAUUAGAUACCCGUGUAGUCCCUGUCUCUUAUAA
rnacentral:rRNA from 1 species